GAUGAACGCUGGCGGCGUGCCUAAUACAUGCAAGUCGAGCGAACGGACGAGAAGCUUGCUUUUCUGAUGUUAGCGGCGGACGGGUGAGUAACACGUGGAUAACCUUCCUAUAAGACUGGGAUAACUUCGGGAAACCGGAGCUAAUACCGGAUAAUAUUUUGAACCGCAUGGUUCAAAAGUGAAAGACGGUCUUGCUGUCACUUAUAGAUGGAUCCGCGCUGCAUUAGCUAGUUGGUAAGGUAACGGCUUACCAAGGCAACGAUGCAUAGCCGACCUGAGAGGGUGACCGGCCACACUGGAACUGAGACACGGUCCAGACUCCUACGGGAGGCAGCAGUAGGGAAUCUUCCGCAAUGGGCGAAAGCCUGACGGAGCAACGCCGCGUGAGUGAUGAAGGUCUUCGGUUCGUAAAACUCUGUUAUUAGGGAAGAACAUAUGUGUAAGUAACUGUGCACAUCUUGACGGUACCUAAUCAGAAAGCCACGGCUAACUACGUG
rnacentral:rRNA from 1 species